AUCCACGAAUAAUGAUGAAUGCAAAUACAAUGAGCAAUUAUGAUGUUUCUGUCAUCAUCCAUGACUUGUAAUCGAUGUAGCCUUAUUUUUUGAAAACACAAAAAAUAUAAAAUAUAUAAUACAACAAGAAAAGAAAAAAAUAAGAAAAAACAAAAAAGGAAAAAAGGAAAAAGGUGGAAAAGAAAAAAAAGGAAGAAAGAAAAGUAGAGGUCAU
rnacentral:lncRNA from 1 species